rnacentral:rRNA from 1 species
GACGAACCUUGCUAACGUUAUUCGGAAUUACUGGGCUUAAAGGGUGCGUAGGCGGUGCGGAAAGUCGGAUGUGAAAGCCCUGGGCUUAACCUAGGAAGUGCAUUCGAAACUCCCGAGCUUGAGUUCUGGAGAGGAAGGCGGAAUUCUCGGUGUAGAGGUGAAAUUCGUAGAUAUCGAGAGGAACACCGGUGGCGAAGGCGGCCUUCUGGACAGUGACUGACGCUGAGACGCGAAAGCGUGGGGAGCAAACAGG